rnacentral:rRNA from 1 species
AGGACGAACGCUGGCGGCGUGCUUAACACAUGCAAGUCGAGCGGAAAGGCCCUUCGGGGUACUCGAGCGGCGAACGGGUGAGUAACACGUGAGUAAUCUGCCCCUAGCUCUGGGAUAGCUCCGGGAAAACCGGGAUUAAUACCAGAUACAACCACUUUAGACAUCUCUUGUGGUGGAAAGAAUUUCGGCUAGGGAUGAACUCGCGGCCUAUCAGCUUGUUGGUGAGGUAACGGCUCACCAAGGCGACGACGGGUA